AGACCCGAAACCCGGUGAUCUAGCCAUGGGCAGGUUGAAGGUUGGGUAACACUAACUGGAGGACCGAACCGACUAAUGUUGAAAAAUUAGCGGAUGACCUGUGGCUGGGGGUGAAAGGCCAAUCAAACCGGGAGAUAGCUGGUUCUCCCCGAAAGCUAUUUAGGUAGCGCCUCGUGAAUUCAUCUCCGGGGGUAGAGCACUGUUUCGGCUAGGGGGCCAUCCCGGCUUACCAACCCGAUGCAAACUGCGAAUACCGGAGAAUGUUAUCACGGGAGACACACGGCGGGUGCUAACGUCCGUCGUGAAGAGGGAAACAACCCAGACCGCCAGCUAAGGUCCCAAAGUCAUGGUUAAGUGGGAAACGAUGUGGGAAGGCCCAGACAGCCAGGAUGUUGGCUUAGAAGCAGCCAUCAUUUAAAGAAAGCGUAAUAGCUCACUGGUCGAGUCGGCCUGCGCGGAAGAUGUAACGGGGCUAAACCAUGCACCGAAGCUGCGGCAGCGAACGUAUCACUUAAAGCGAUUCAGCGGGUUACGAUUGACGGAGCGAAGCGACGUCAAAGCGUAUACAAAGUCGAGUCGGUUUAAGGAUACGUUCGUUGGGUAGGGGAGCGUUCUGUAAGCCUGUGAAGGUGGCCUGUGAGGGUUGCUGGAGGUAUCAGAAGUGCGAAUGCUGACAUAAGUAACGAUAAAGCGGGUGAAAAGCCCGCUCGCCGGAAGACCAAGGGUUCCUGUCCAACGUU
rnacentral:rRNA from 2 species